UCGAGGAUCUUCGGCAAUGGGCGCAAGCCUGACCGAGCGACGCCGCGUGCGGGAUGAAGGCCUUCGGGUUGUAAACCGCUUUAGGAGGGGAGGAAAGCCGCAAGGUCUGACCUAUCCUCAAAAUAAGCACGGGCUAAGUUCGUGCCAGCAGCCGCGGUAAGACGAACCGUGCAAACGUUGUUCGGAAUCACUGGGCUUAAAGGGUGUGUAGGCGGUUCGCCAAGUCAGGGGUGAAAUCUUUCGGCUCAACCGGAAAAUGGCCUCUGAUACUGGCGGGCUAGAGGGGGGUAGGGGCUGCGGGAACUACCAGUGGAGCGGUGAAAUGCGUUGAUAUUGGUAGGAACGCCGGUGGCGAAAGCGCGCAGCUGGACCCCUUCUGACGCUGAAACACGAAAGCUAGGGGAGCAAACGG
rnacentral:rRNA from 1 species